rnacentral:rRNA from 1 species
GACGAACGCUGGCGGCGUGCUUAACACAUGCAAGUCGAACGGAAAGGCCCUGCUUUUGUGGGGUGCUCGAGUGGCGAACGGGUGAGUAACACGUGAGUAACCUGCCCUUGACUUUGGGAUAACUUCAGGAAACUGGGGCUAAUACCGGAUAGGAGCUCCUGCUGCAUUGUGGGGGUUGGAAAGUUUCGGCGGGUGGGGAUGGACUCGCGGCUUAUCAGCUUGUUGGUGGGGUAGUGGCUUACCAAGGCUUUGACGGGUAGCCGGCCUGAGAGGGUGACCGGCGACAUUGGGACUAAGAGACGGCCCAGACUCCUACGGGAGGCAGCAGUGGGGAAUAUUGCACAAUGGGCGGAAGCCUGAUGAAGCAACGCCGCGUGCGGGAUGACGGCCUUCGGGUUGUAAACCGCUUUCGCCUGUGACGAAGCGUGAGUGACGGUAAUGGGUAAAGAAGCACCGGCUAACUACGUG